AGAGUUUCUUCCUCUUGUAUGCCUCAUCCACGGAAUCCUCCCAUGGCACUGUUAGCUCCACCAGGAGAACAAGGCAUGGUGAGACUGACCAUGGACAAUGUCAGGUCAAAGGAUGAGGACAAAGAUGGAAAUGAAUAUGGAAAGAGAUGGGUCAUGACUGCAAAGAUUUUGGAAAUUGUGAAAGGCCUGAAGGGAGUAGGCCAGUGUCAGUCUGGCUCGAUUUAACGUGGGUCAAAAUGUGUCAAAUUCCAGUGAAAAAAAACUGAAGAAUCCACAUCUUGCUGAGACAGAAAUAAACUUCCUGAUCUUCUGGUUUAGUGGACAGCGUGUUGCCUCUAUUUUUAUUGUAAACAUAGCCUUUGGAGUUGUUUGUUGAAGGAAUAGAUAUUUAUG